rnacentral:hammerhead_ribozyme from 1 species
AUCCAAUUGACGAGUCACAAAUAGGACGAAAUGCGCGUCCUGGAU